CUUACCAGAAUAAGGCCAGGAGUUGCUGAGUGAGCAAUGUGCCUGCUUGUAAGCCAAGCGAAGUAACAUAGGAAACAUGGCGAGAAGGAGAAGGAAGGAUUGUGUCCGGAAUGGGAGAAAUGGAAGCAGAAAAAAUGAGGUAUUAGCCAAAUAUUCCCUGUGGAUUAAUAUGCAUCCCAGUAUUCCUAGGAAUAGGUUAAAAAAACACUGAGAGUUUUUUUCUUUUUCUUUUUAAAAAAGUUUAAGGGUACAGUGGUGCCCCACAAGACGAAUGCCUCGCAAGACGGAAAACCCGCUAGACGAAAGGGUUUUCCGUUUUUGAGUUGCUUCGCAGGACGAAUUUCCCUAUGGGCUUGCUUCGCAAGACGAAAAUGUCUUGCGAGUCUUGAGAUUUUUUUUUCGCUUUCCCCCCCUUUAUCUAUGCCGCUAAGCCUUUAAUAGCCUUUUAGCAGCUAAUCCAAUAAGCCGAUAAGCCUUUAAUAGCCGCUAAACCGCUAAUAGCGCUAAUCCGUUAAGCCGCUAAUAGGGUUGCUUCGCAAGACGAAAAAACCGCUAGACGAAGACUCUCGCGGAACGGAUUAAUUUCGUCUUGCGAGGCACCACUGUACUCUCAUUUUCCUACUCAUAUUGAAAUGCUACCCCUUAAUGAGGCCAAACUUAGAUUCACAAAAUGUUUAGGGGUAUGUGUAUCCCUGCGUCCCCCCAGAAAAAAAGCACUGGGGAUACCACUAAAUCAAAUUAUUCAUUCUGUUCAGAUCUGCUUGGAUGAGAGUAGCAAUUCCUCAUCUAGGCUCUGAUUACACUUAGACCUAUUUAUAAGGAUUGGCAAAAUCUGCCCAUUUCGGUCUCUCAUUUUUCUAAUCUUAAAAUCAGUUCGCCACAUUGGUUUGCCGUUUAAAAUAAGUAAGUAAAGUGGUACCUUGGUUCUCAAACGGACUAGUUGACGAACAAAUUGGCUCCCGAAAGCUGAAAACCUGGAAGUAAGUGUUCUGGUUUUUGAACAUUUUUUGGAAGUGAAUGUCCGACUCGGCUUCUGCUUGAGUGAAGGAAGCUCCUGCAGCCAAUCAGAAGCUGCGGCUUGGUUUUCGAAUGGUUUCGGGAGUUGAACGAACUUCCAGAAUGGAUUAAGUUCGAGAACCAAGGUUCCACUGUAUGUAUGAACCUUGUCAUAUAAACUUGCUGCUGUAGUCUGAAGUGGUAAAGCUUCAGCCCAGAUUUACUCCCCUCUUCCCUACAUGAGCAGCAUUGCAGGGGAGGAAGUAGUGGAGAUGAGCACAUUCAUUACUGGUGUAAACACCUUUCAGAACCCUCAUUUUCCUGGUUCUAACUGGCACGAGGAGCCUAUAUGACACUUGUGUCACAUGGAAAAACAAACAAGGCCUCUAGCAGGAAUAGGCUUUUGUCUUGCCCUUUGGCAAAAUGUGGAUUGCAAGCACUUUGGGGCAGGACCUUGUGCAGUGAUGGUGCGAAACUUUUCAUAGUUAGCAAAUCAGUUGGUGAUGGAACAGAUUCAGCAAAGCACAAACUGUAUUUUCUCUCUUCGUGUAUAAGUUUAUUUCUUAGAAUCUAACACCUCAUGGAUGUUUUCAUUAGUUAAACAUGCAAGCCUGCUGCUUGAUUGUUAUUAGAUCUGAUCUGUACAGCCAGCAGGGCAGAUAUGUUUUUGCUGCUUCUUUUUUACUACACACAAAUAAGGGGUUUUAUGGGGACUAAAACGUGAGGACUCAUCUCGGAGGCUGACUUCUGGACCACAUUUCGUCCGUGGGGUUUCCUGUCUCUAGUGGAUUCAGUUCAUCAAGGCCUCCUGCUGCAACGGGUCCCUUCACUUUAAUGGGUCUCAGGGCUGUUGUCUUAUCUUCCCCGCUAGGUGUGAUGGGUACAUUGCUUUUUGCAGGGCAGGGUUAUAUGUGUGUUGGGGUGUGUGUGUCCCCCACAGGUUUUGUGUGGGGGUUGACUCUUUGUCAUCCUUAAAUAUUUUGUGGUGCGGAUACCCUUUUAGCCACUGCGGUUGUCAAUUUAAUAAGGGGUUUUAAGAGUAAUCAGUAACUUCAGCUUAAGCACACAUUACACUAAAUGCAUAGCUUGCUGCUGUUUUUUCCCUUCAUUUAGUUACAAGUUCAGGGUCACCACCACCACUCCAUUUCUCAUUGAGACAUCAGAAUGGAGGGAGGGAAGAUUUCACCCUCCCCUCCAAUGGUGCAAAGCCAGUGGAAAACCUUCCCCCAUCCUCAAGUGAAGUUAUAAGGCCUCUCCUCCUCCUCCUUCUUCAAUUUGUAUACUGCCCUUCAUCCAAAGACCACAGGUUCACAACAUAAAAAUACAAAAUGAAAACACAAAAUGCAUAACGAAACAAGCACAAAAGCAAUACCCCCCCACAGACACAUUUAAAAGGCCAUAGAAUGUCAAUCAGCCAAAUGCCUGGUUGAAGAGAAACUAUUAUUUUUAUUUACUAAAUUAUGGGGGAGCUCCCACUGGUUGUCAAAUAGAGAAUUGAAGUAGCUUCUAGUUUGGCCCCCCAGAUGGUAGUUUUCCAAUAUCAUUUUAAGUUACUCCCCGCUUCCCUGUUGAGCAGGCUGUCCUACUCACUGUCCUAAUGGCUACUGGGAUGCAGGUGGCACUGUGGUCUAAACCACUGAGCCUCUUGGGCUUGCUGUUCAGAAGGUCGGCAGUUCAAAUCGCUGCUCCCGUUGCUCUGUCCCAGCUUCUGCCAACCUAGCCGUUCAAAAGCACACCAGUGCAAGUAGAUAAAUAGGUACCACUAUGGCUGGAAGGUAUACGACAUUUCCAUGUGCUCUGGCUUACGUCAUGGUGUCCCGUUGUGCCAGAAACGGUUUAGUCCUGCUGGCCACAUGACCUGGAAAGCUGCGGACAAACGCCGGCUCCCUUGGCCUGAAAGCAAGAUGAGUGCUGCAACCCCAUAGUUGCCUUUGACUGGACUUAACCAGGGGUCCUUUACCUUUUACCUUUUACCUAAUGGCUACCAGGUUUUGUUGUUGUCCAGUGUGACUUAAGGAUAAGUAUGUUUAUGAUCCUGGAAAAAAAAUCCACCCUGAGUCAGGAGUAUUUCUUGAGUGAACAGAACUGUGCCAAGUGGGUGGCAUUCGAGCAUUACAGUGGUACCUCGGGUUAAGAACUUAUUUUGUUCUGGAGGUCCAUUCUUAACCUGAAACUGUUCUUAACCUGAGGUACCACUUUCGCUAAUGGGGCCUCCUGCUGCCGCUGUGCUGCCACCACACAAUUUCUGUUUUCAUCCUGAAGCAAAGUUCUUAACCCGAGGUACUAUUUCUGGGUUAGCGGAAUCUGUAACCUGAAGCGUAUAUAACCUGAAGCGUCUGUAACCCAAGGUACCACUGUAUUGUAACUUUGGUGGUGGGUUGGCUGAGGGUGAGCACCAGCAACUCUACAUUUUUUAUUGAAAACCAGAAAUGUUCCCAUUCUUAAAAACAAGCUUUCAUUCAUUAACUAGAGGUUGUCAUCUCAUGAGUUAAAAAAGCCAAUUUCAUGCAACCAAUUUCACAUUAGGCAAAUAAGUGUUCCAGGCAGGCAGCGCACCCAUUGGCCCCAUCUUGGCUACAGCCCAUCUUGCAAGGCACCCAGUCAAUUUAAAUGGACAGGGAUUGCACAAAAGGGAGCAUUUGGCCAAUUGCACAAAGUGUCUCUCUCUCUCACACACACACACGGCUCAUUUUCUUUUCAGCAUCAAGGUGGAGGCGGAGGACAGAGGCAGCCCUGGCACGGCUAGAGAUUGAAAGGCUCUAGGGGAAAACUAACAGCACGGAACAGAGAUGCAUGCAAAUUUUGGGAAAGUGAUUACAUCACCUGGUGCUCACGCUACUAUGUAGCCCAGAGGAAUUAAACUUACCAGUCAGAACUCGCAGAAAACGAUGAUUUUAUGGGCCUAACGAUCUGUGCUGGUAGUUUUAAGGGAAAGAGAAACGGAUCAGCCACCCUCAUAAAAUAGUUGCAAAGUGGAAAAAUGAAUCAGUGAAGAUAUAACCCAGUAUUAAAAAUAGUAAACGAAGAAAG
rnacentral:lncRNA from 1 species